UGUGUACUCCCUCCGUUCCAAAAUACUUGACUUCCAUUUGUCCAAAAAUGGAUGUACCUAUAUACUAAAACAUGUCUAGAUACAUCUAUAUUUUUACAAAUAGAAGGCAUGUAUUGUGGAACGAAGGGAGUAGAAU
rnacentral:pre_miRNA from 1 species